rnacentral:rRNA from 1 species
UACGUAGGGGGCAAGCGUUGUCCGGAAUCAUUGGGCGUAAAGCGCGUGUAGGCGGCCAGAAAAGUCCGCUGUGAAAACUCGAGGCUCAACCUCGAGCUGUCGGUGGAAACUUUCUGGCUAGAGUCCGGAAGAGGAGAAUGGAAUUCCUGGUGUAGCGGUGAAAUGCGCAGAUAUCAGGAAGAACACCCGUGGCGAAGGCGGUUCUCUGGGACGGUACUGACGCUGAGACGCGAAAGCGUGGGGGAGCGAACAGG